UACGUAGGGUGCGAGCGUUAAUCGGAAUUACUGGGCGUAAAGCGUGCGUAGACGGUUACGUAAGUCAGAUGUGAAAGCCCCGGGCUCAACCUGGGAAUUGCAUUUGAGACUGCGUAGCUAGGGUGCGGAAGAGGGAAGCGGAAUUUCCGGUGUAGCGGUGAAAUGCGUAGAUAUCGGAAGGAACACCAGUGGCGAAAGCGGCUUCCUGGUCCAGCACCGACGUUCAGGCACGAAAGCGUGGGGAGCAAACAGG
rnacentral:rRNA from 1 species